GGAAACAGAGCCUACCAUCGUCUUCCUCGAGCUCCUCCUCUCACUCGAACAAGUCUGUAAAAGUUUCCAACUCGCUACAGUGGGUCCCUUCAAAGAAGUUGGCUCAGUCUACACAGGAUCGCCGUAAUCCAAGAUGUGUGAAGCGAAGUGAAAUAGACAUCCUAGACUCAGAAAUGUUGACAGACGAUGAAGAUAGAUUUGGAAUCUGGAGAAACCCUAAGUUUGGGAAGCCUUGACCUCCAAAAAUCAAAAGAUAUUUUUGAGGAGGAUAGCUUAAACACUGAGCUAUUAUUUCUAGAGGAGGAAAUGGUACCACAAGACUGCAACAAUGUGUCAAACAAAAACCAGAUGGGUUUAGUAGCGAUUGCAGAGGUUCGGCAGCCUGAUGUAAUCUUAGUUAUGUGCUGCAGGGGUACUUUUGUCAUUUUCCCUUUUUUUAUUUAGUCGCCCUAACAUAUAAAUACAAAUCGUGGCGCCGCCAGCUUAUGUUUUUGGUCGAAAUCCUCUCGCAUCUUCCUUCUCUCCUCUCUUCUUCUUCUCCCUUCUUCUCUUCUCUUCCUCUCAUCUCUUGAUCGAGAUCUUUCUUUCUUGCCGAAAUCAUAGUAUCAGAGCAGGUCGGUGCUCUCUAAAAUUUUUUUUUGGUUGAUGACGUCCUCUGUGCUCACUUGACUGAGAAUGAAGAAACCAAGUCAGUUCUGGACCUGAGAACUCAUUGGCUGGAUCUCCCUCUUCUGUUCUGGGCGGAAACUCAACUGAAGUGAUUGCAGAAGAUUCUUGAUGACUGGUUGAGUCCUUCGAAGAGGUUGGCGGCUCCUUUUUUCUAUUCUCUUUUAUUAUUAUCGGAUUAUUGGACUGGAAAAUCCAGAAACCACUUGAACUGAACUCGGACAGUUUUUAAACCUUUUUUCUUUGGUUCUUGGUGCUGGUACCAAGAACAGGUUGAGGGUUGCCUUGACCGAAUGGUAUAAGGGAAGUUUAACCCCUUCUUUAUGGGUCGGAUGAUCCAGAAACCUGUGAACUUGUGGAAUUAGUUGUAGGUCAUGAGUGACCUGGUUUGGUUGACUGUUACAGCAACAGUGGACUGAUGCUUGUGGCUUAUAUUAGCCUUUGGAGAAGUCUGGUACACCUGUGAACUUGUUCAGAUGGCUGGUACAGCAGCAGAGUACUGAUGCUUGUGGCUUAUAUUAGUCUUGGAGAGGCCUGUUAGAUCAGUGAAAGUGUGUUGCAGCAAGGGCUGUAAUUGUGUUCUAACUGUCAGAACACUUAAAGUAAGGGCUGUGUAGUCAAUUUGUGUGUAUUGACUGAGGUGAAGGAACUGUUGUUGUCUUAGUAAGCGUCAGUCAUGAAUUCUGAAGAUUCAGCAACCUCUGGAACUUCUUUCAACCAAGGAGGAAUGAACGACAGUAUUGAUUCCAUGAGCUUUCCAACGACCAUUACUCCCUUGGAUGGCAGAAAUUAUUUGACAUGGUCUAAGGAGAUGCGGCUGGACAUCACAGCCCAGGGUAAAGCAGAGUAUAUCAAUGGAAAAGUGAAGGAAUCUAGGACUGGUACGGCUGAAUAUGAUAAGUGGGACCAGGAAAACUGCAUGAUUAUGUCAUGGCUCCUGACUAUUAUGCUACCAUCAGUGAAGCAGAACUUUUUGUGGGCUGAAACAGCCAAGGAAAUAUGGGAACAAGCAAGGUCAACUUACUCCGAACAGAGGCACUAUUGCUAGAAUCUAUCAAUUGCAAGCCGAGUCCGCAACGUGUAAACAAGGGGAAAGAAGCUUAUCCACCUACUAUUCUGCCCUCACAUAUAUUUGGAACGAGUUAGAUUACUAUAAGAAUAUUGUCUGGGAGAGUGAAAAGGAUGCCAAAGCCUAUAAACAGUUAAUGUCACAGCAGCGGGUGUUUGCUUUUCUGUUAGGACUUAAUCCCAUAUAUGAACCCAUUCGAGUUCAAAUUUUGGGCAGCAAGGAUCUUCCCUCUGUCCAAGAGGUGUAUGCACUGGUUCAAUAUGAGGAAAGUAGGAAAUCUGCCAUGAAUCCUCCAGAGGGGGAGACCAUUGCCUUAGCCACAAGAGGUAAUAUCAAUUCAGCAAGAAAGGGAGAUGGUUAGAAAAGGGUUGAUGAUAAGGAUAAACUGUGGUGCUCUCAUUGUUAGAAGUCCCGACACACAUGGGAGAUAUGUUGGGAAUUGCAUGGCAAGCCGAACUGGGCACAAGACCUAAAUAAGAAAUCAACACAAGAACAGAACAAGAAACCAAAUCAGGAAAGGUUCACCUCGGCUAUCUUGGCCUCUCAUGAGUUGCAGAGUGGAGGAACUACUAUGAACUCUCAGGAUUGCCCCCUAGGUCUGAUCUUAAGGAAAAUAUUAUCAUUGCCUUUUGUGACCAUUUGGAGCAAUAUGGUAGGGCCCUCACACAAACUGAUUCUAAACCCACUCCUUCAACCUCUUUUGCCUCUUCCUCAGGUAGCUUAGCUUCUAAAUUCCAUGUGCCUGCCGAUACCUAUGAAUCCCCAUGGAUUAUUGAUUCUGGUGCUUCCAAUCACAUCACAGGAUUUGGCCUCUGGGAGGACGAUUGGUAAAGAGAAUAUGGUGAAUGGCCUCUAUGUGCUGGAGAAUAGAGCUAGUCUUGCUGCCUCAGAGUCUUUGAGUCAGUCAAAUAAGAGUCAUGUUACUUUGUGGCACAAUCGUUUGGGUCAUAUGUCUUUUGAGUCUUUGAAGUAUUUGUUUCCAGAAUUGUUUAAGUCUAUGUCUAUUAAUGAUUUUUAGUGUCAAGUGUGUUAGCUAAGCAAGCAUUGUAGAACUUCAUUUUCUUUACGUAAUAAAAAAUCAGAUGUUUCCUUUUCCAUUGUCUAUUCUAAUGUUUGGGAACUUGUAAAUAUUUCAACGGAGAAUGGCUACAGAUACUUCAUAUCUUUCAUUGAUGACUUCUCUUGAUAUACGUGGGUGUACCCUAUGCACUCUCGAGACGAAGUUUCUAAACUUGUGAAAGCCUUCCAACGUAUGGUAUACACACAAUUUCAAAUGGAGAUUCGAACCUUCCAAUCAGACAAUGCCAGAGAGUACGUUCAUGGUGACCUCACAGAAUUUUUUGAAACUUGUGGCUCUACUCAUCGUAGUUCUUGUGCUCGAACCCCUCAACAGAAUGGGGUUGCAGAGAGAAAGAAUCGUUAUCUCUUAAAGGUUGCUCGAGGGUUGUUGAUAUACAUGAAUGUUCCAAAAAGGUUUUGGGUGGAUGCUGUUAUGACUCUGGCUUAUCUUAUCAAUUGGAUGCCAUCUCGUCUCCUGGAGUACAAGUCCCCUCAUCAGCUCAUCUUCCCUACAACUCCAUUGUUUCCUAUCCCUUUGCGUGUCUUUGGGUGUAAGUGUUUUGUCCAUGAUCUAUCACCUACCCGUGGUAAGCUAGAUCCCAAAGCCAUUGUUUGUGUUUUCCUUGGUUAUCCCCUUUCCCAAAAAGGUUAUUGUUGCUUUGACCCUAUUUCCAAAAAGUACUUUGUAUCUAUGGAUGUUUCUUUCUUUGAAGAUGUGCCUUUCUUUCUUGCUUCUCAGGGGGAGAGUCCAAGUGAGGGAAAAUAGAGACAGGUUUUGUUGCUUUGUCCUCCUGACCCUCCUCCAUUUUUGGUCUUUCAUAGACAGUGGUACAAAAGUCAAGGCCACGAUCAGCGAAGUUCAAUAGACAUAGAGUAUCCUGAAGCUAUGCAACCUGUGCCAUCGAACUCUCAGGGGUUGAAUCAAUCACUGCAUCCAGGUACUAUUGUUCCAGUUAACGUCUCUGAGCCCAUUGAUAUUGAUACUUCUAAUUGUGAUCUGGAUCUUCCUAUUGCAAAGAGGAAAGGUGUUAAAUCAUGCACCACACAUCACCCGAUGGCCCUUUCCUUAUCCUAUGAGCAUGUUUCACCCUCUUUCCGUGCUUUCCUCUCUGCUAUUGAUAGUGUUUCCCUUCCUAAGAGUGUUGCAGAAGCUUUACUUGUUCCUGAAUGGACAGAUGCAAUGAAGGAGAUCAAUGCCCUUCACAAAAAUGGCACAUGGGAGCUGGUAGAUCUCCCUGAAGGAAAGGAACCUAUGGGGUGCAAAUGGGUAUUUUCUGUGAAACAUAAGGCAGAUGGCACAUUGUAGAGGUAUAAGGCCCGACUAGUUGCAAAAGGUUUUUCACAGGUGUAUGGAGUUGAUUAUGCGGAAACCUUUGCACCUGUAGAAAAAAUGAAUUCUAUUCAAGUCCUUUCUUUAGCAGCAAAUCUAGAUUGGGAACUUCAUCGACUGGACAUUAAAAAUGCUUUUUUGAAUGGUGACUUAGAAGAAGUGAAUAUGAUCCAACCUCCAGGUUUUCGUGCUAAAGGAGAUGAGUAGAAAGUAUGUAGAUUGAAGAAAUCUUUGUAUGGCUUAAAACAGUCUCCAAGGGCCUGGUUUAGUAGGUUCCACAAGGCAGUUCAACAGAUGUUUUUUUUUUGAUGAAAGAAGCAAAUUUAGAGUGAGUUUAUACAUCAUCCCAGCGAGAAGCGCGAGCUGCAGCCCCUCCUUGAAUCUUACAAGUAAACUAGGAAAGAAAA